rnacentral:pre_miRNA from 1 species
UCACCUCCAUAGCUGGCCGGCCCCCAGGAUGGGCUGAGCAAAUAUCUCUUUGAAAGGCUCACCCUCAAGCAUAAUUAGGAGC